rnacentral:rRNA from 1 species
AGGAAGGUUUUUGGAUCGUAAACCCCUUUUGUCAAGGAAGAAGCUCUGACGGUACUUGACGAAUAAGCCUCGGCUAACUCCGUGCCAGCAGCCGCGGUAAUACGGAGGAGGCAAGCGUUAUCCGGAAUGAUUGGGCGUAAAGCGUCUGUAGGUGGCCAGCUAAGUCUGCUGUUAAAGAUCACAGCUCAACUGUGGGAAGGCAGUGGAAACUGGCAAGCUAGAGGUUGGUAGGGGUAAAGGGAAUUCCCGGUGUAGCGGUGAAAUGCGUAGAUAUCGGGAAGAACACCGGUGGCGAAAGCGCUUUACUGGGCCAGACCUGACACUGAAGGACGAAAGCUAGGGGAGCGAAAGGGAUUAGAUACCCCUGUAGUC